rnacentral:lncRNA from 1 species
UCUCCGCCUCGCCGCCGACAGCCCCUCCCAGCCCGCCUGCCCGCCCUCCUUCCGGCUGUUUUUGUUUGUCUGUCUUUCCCGAGAAGCACGAACAGGGAAAGGCUCAUGAGACUGUACUCUGUGAGGGUGGAAACCGGUCUGAACCAUCCCUGUAACUGCUGAGCCCCGGGACCUGCCGCACACUAGCUGAGGGUGAUGGACCCUGCCGCUGUGCACAAAGUCCACACAGAGGACUUCCCGAGGUCAGCCUCCGGAAAGCAAUAGCGACUGGGCCCAGAAACAUCCUGUUAGCACGAAUGCCUUGCUAUGAAGUCACACAAAGAGCCAAGGGGUGUGGCUGGGGAGGUUUUGAAAACUCAGCGAAUAGCAAAACGGGGGCAGGAACAUAGGUCUUUUUAUCCAUCAGGCAAAGUCCCACCUUUAUGACAUAUCUGUCCUGGGUCUGGAGCACCAUGCUUUGUGAGAUUAUAAUAGAGAGGCAUGUCGAUGAAUAAUAGGCGUGUGACAGACAUGAUGCUACGUCCAUCCUAAGAGUCAUAUGUGUUCUUUGGUUAUCCUAGAAGCCACUGUGGUAUCCCAGGGCCUUGACACAGCCACUGACAGAAAAAUGAUGAAUAAAAAUAAUACGCGUGAACUGCUGUUAUUCCUGCAUUCCAGAAUUCAAACUGCACCAUAUUCAAAGGAUGCUAAGCUGACAUAAUGGAAGUCUGGAGCUGCCUGUGACCAAGGUUUCCCCUGUGUAGAAGCCUACUGUCGGAAAAAAUGAGGCCAGCACACAGAGACUGAGAGGAGUGGAGAAAGAGAGCUGGGUUGGGAGGAGAAGAAAAGGAUCUUGAUGGUGAUCACGUCCUUGGUUCUAGUGCUUAAAGUCCCCAGGGUCCUGCAACUCUCUGAGUUCCUUCUAGGACAUUCAAUUUUGGGA